UGGUGGAGUGAUUUGUCUGGUUAAUUCCGUUAACGAACGAGACCUCAUCCUGCUAAUUAGAACUAGCAAUCUUCGGAUUGGCUAGAGCUUCUUAGAGGGACUAUUGGUUGGCAAGCCAAUGGAGGUUUGAGGCAAUAACA
rnacentral:rRNA from 1 species